rnacentral:rRNA from 1 species
CGCCGCUAUAAUGCAAGUCGAGCGAGAAGGUGUAGCAAUACACUUGUAAAGCGGCGAACGGGUGAGGAAUACAUGGGUAAUCUACCAUCGAGUGGGGAAUAACCAGCCGAAAGGUUGGCUAAUACCGCGUACGCCUCCGAAUCUUCGGGUUCGGAGGGAAAGCCACACUGUGAGUGCGGCGCUCUUUGAUGAGCUCAUGUCCUAUCAGCUUGUUGGUAGGGUAACGGCCUACCAAGGCUUUGACGGGUAGCUGGUCUGAGAGGACGAUCAGCCACACUGGCACUGCGACACGGGCCAGACUCCUACGGGAGGCAGCAGUAAGGAAUAUUGCGCAAUGGGCGAAAGCCUGACGCAGCGACGCCGCGUGGGGGAUGAAGGUCUUCGGAUUGUAAACCCCUUUCGGGAGGGAAGAUGGAGCGAGCAAUCGUUCGGACGGUACCUCCAGAAGCAGCCACGGCCAACUUCGUGCCAGCAGCCGCGGUAAUACGAAGGUGGCAAGCGUUGUUCGGAUUCACUGGGCGUACAGGGUGUGUAGGCGGUUUGGUAAGCCUUCUGUUAAAGCUUCGGGCCCAACCCGGAAAGCGCAGAGGGUACUGCCAGGCUAGAGGGUGGGAGAGGAGCGCGGAAUUCCCGGUGUAGCGGUGAAAUGCGUAGAGAUCGGGAGGAAGGCCGGUGGCGAAGGCGGCGCUCUGGAACAUACCUGACGCUGAGACACGAAAGCGUGGGGAGCAAACAGGAUUAGAUACCCUGGUAGUCCACGCCCUAAACUAUGGAUACUAAGUGUCGGCGGGUUACCGCCGGUGCCGCAGCUAACGCAUUAAGUAUCCCGCCUCGAAGUACGGCCGCAAGGUUGAAACUCAAAGGAAUUGACGGGGGGCCCGCACAAGCGGUGGAGCAUGUGGUUUAAUUUCGACGCAA